rnacentral:lncRNA from 1 species
UAUUAGAUAGUCUUUCUAAAAGUUUGAAGAUUAAAAUUUUCUUAAUAAGAGUUCAGUGCACAUAUUUAAACUUUAUAUGUUAUCACUAAUAUUUUUUUUAAAUUCUUGGAACUACAAAUUAAAAUCUAGUAACAAGGAAAAAUAGUGAUUGUCAUAAUGUCUGUCAACUGGACUAACUUGAUCCUUUUACUCAUCUACAUCUAUCUUGAGGAGUUUCUAAUCCUUACUCAUUUACUUUAAUAUAUAUAUUUUUUCCAUUAGAGACAAUGUAAUAUGUUUGUUUUGGAGUGGGUAAGUAUUAGGAUAAUUUGAAUAUAUAUUUUUACAACUGCUGAUCGAAUUCAUAUAACUAAAAGAAAAAUGAAAAAGAAGGAAAAAAAUAUUUUUAAGAAAAAAAUAAAAUAAAAAUAAUAAAUAGUGUCUAAUUAGCAUAGAACGACUUACUGCCUAUGAUAAUAUUUAUUUGUUUGAAUUGAGUACAGAUUUAGCUAGAUCUGGACAACACCAUAACUUGUAGUUUUCCUCAAAAACUUAUUCGUGUUGACAUAGGAUUAAGUUGAAUUACUAAAUCCUUAAUAUAAAAACCAAAUUGCUAAAAAUUAGUUUAGGAUGGGAAUGUUAUUGCUUGUUUUCAUAGAAAUUUGAUGGUUUGGAGUUCUCGAAUCCCAGAUUUAAUUGAAGAAGGUUGAGUUAAAAAGUCUAAAAUGGACAAUGACUAUUUUUAAAAUUCAAAUCUCAUACAUCUUUUGCUUCUUUCCGUAGCCUUUAUGGCUUGAAUUAUUAAGUCAGUUAGGGUCUUUUAAACCCACCAUUGCAUGACAAUAGUCAACAAUAUAUCCUUGUUUGGACUCUAUUUUAAAGUGAUUUUGGAAGAAAAGUGUAUUUUGGAGUAGUGACUUUUUGAAAAAUAUGCUUAAAGAAUGUGUAUUUAAAAUGAAUUUAGGAAAAAUAUAUUUUGAAAAUAAUGGAACCUAACCAGGGACAUAAUAUUAGUUGUAUCAAGCACUAAAUUAUUUUAUCUUAGUUUCAAAUUUUGAUUUAACGAUUACUAUUUCAGAAUUUCAACCACAUAAAAAAAUUUACAAUGUUACUACAAAAACACGUGUUAAAUAAUAUAUUAAAGUAGUGUAAAAGAAGUUAAACGAGAUCAAGAAUAAUUUAUUUAGAAUUUUUAUGCUUCACG